rnacentral:rRNA from 1 species
GUGGGGAAUCUUCCGCAAUGGACGAAAGUCUGACGGAGCAACGCCGCGUGAGUGAAGAAGGUUUUCGGAUCGUAAAGCUCUUUCGUUAGGGACGAACGUGCUCUUUGUGAAUAAUGAGGAGUAAUGACGGUACCUAAAUAAGAAGCCACGGCUAGCUACGUGCCAGCAGCCGCGGUAAUACGUAGGUGGCAAGCGUUGUCCGGAAUUAUCGGGCGUAAAGCGCGCGCAGGCGGGAUAUCAAGUCUGUCUUAAAAGUGCGAGGCUCAACCUCGUGAGGGGACAGAAACUGGUAUUCUUGAGUGUCGGAGAGGAAAGUGGAAUUCCAAGUGUAGCGGUGAAAUGCGUAGAGAUUUGGAAGAACACCAGUGGCGAAGGCGACUUUCUGGACGAUGUCUGACGCUGAGGCGCGAAAGCUAGGGGAGCGAACGGGAUUAGAAACCCUAGUAGUCC